rnacentral:rRNA from 1 species
UGCCAGCCGCCGCGGUAAUACGAAGGGGGCUAGCGUUGCUCGGAAUCACUGGGCGUAAAGGGUGCGUAGGCGGGUCUUUAAGUCAGGGGUGAAAUCCUGGAGCUCAACUCCAGAACUGCCUUUGAUACUGAGGAUCUUGAGUCCGGAAGAGGUGAGUGGAACUGCGAGUGUAGAGGUGAAAUUCGUAGAUAUUCGCAAGAACACCAGUGGCGAAGGCGGCUCACUGGUCCGGUACUGACGCUGAGGCACGAAAGCGUGGGGAGCAAACAGGAUUAGAUA